GCGGUUUUGUGACAUGUGCAUGUAGUUUAAACAAUGUCGUCAAUAGUGUUAGAAAGAAGCUAUCAAAAAAUGAUUUAGAACCUUAUACUACACAUACGGAGGUACAUGUAUGAUACCAUGACGGGUGAACGUAUGAUAUAACUGUGAAAUAGCCAUUGUAAUUGCCACGUUAUUUUAUGGAUCGUUGAUUUUAUUACCUUUGGAUUAUUGGCACGUGCCAUCGAACUUAAUCUUUAUAGACCGAAUAUUAAAGCAUACAUACGUUACUUUUACAGUUUAGAGGGAG
rnacentral:lncRNA from 1 species